rnacentral:rRNA from 1 species
GACGAACGCUGGCGGCGUGCUUAACACAUGCAAGUCGAACGAAGAGCGAUGGAAGCUUGCUUCUAUCAAUCUUAGUGGCGCACGGGUGAGUAACGCGUAAUCAACCUGCCCUUCAGAGGGGGACAACAGUUGGAAACGACUGCUAAUACCGCAUACGAUCUAAUCUCGGCAUCGAGGAUAGAUGAAAGGUGGCCUCUACAUGUAAGCUAUCACUGAAGGCGGGGAUUGCGUCUGAUUAGCUAGUUGGAGGGGUAACGGCCCACCAAGGCGAUGAUCAGUAGCCGGUCUGAGAGGAGGAACGGCCACAUUGGGACUGAGACACGGCCCAGACUCCUACGGGAGGCAGCAGGGGGGAAUCUUCCGCAAUGGACGAAAGGCUGACGGAGCAACGCCGCGUGAGGGAUGACGGCCUUCGGGUUGUAAAGCUCUGUUAAUCGGGACGAAAGGCCUUCUUGCGAAUAGUGAGAAGGAUUGACGGUACCGGAAUAGAAAGCCACGGCUAACUACGUG